ACUAUAUUCACACACAAAUUCCCAAAUGACAUUAUACUAUAGAAACGUCUGAUUAUUCCCUGUUAAAAGGGUUCAUAAACAUUUUGACAGAUGGAAUUUCAUGACUUCUCCAUGACCAAUGAUUAGUGUUGUCUCUAUAUAGCCUACAUUAAAAAGUCAGCAUAUAUGUGUUAUUGACACUAGAAGGCUGCUCUGCCCUACCAAGCAAAAAGGCAGUAACUGCUCAUUUGGUCGAAAAUGAGUUAAUGUCAUUUUUUUUGCCACAUUAAAUACAUUCUUAAUAAUGUAGACAAGUAUCCUGCCUCUAUUGUAUUGUGUUCAGGAGAAAAUGUUAGCAGUAACUGCAGUGUACUGUGUUAGACCAGGGCUGAUGUUUAGGCUGCAGAGUGGAGUAUUAAACCAGGGCUGAUGUUUAGGCUGCAGUGUGGAGUAUUAAACCAGGGCUGAUGUUUAGGCUGCAGUGUGGAGUAUUAGAGCAGGGCUGAUGUUUAGGCUGCAGAGUGGUGAGUUAGACCAGGGCUGAUGUUUAGGCUACAGUGUGGAGUAUUAGACCAGGGCUGAUGUUUAGGCUGCAGUGUGGAGUAUUAGACCAGGGCUGAUGUUUAGGCUGCAGUGUGGAGUAUUAGACCAGGGCUGAUGUUUAGGCUGCAGUGUACUGUGUUAGACCAGGGCUGAUGUUUAGGCUGCAGUGUACUGUGUUAGACCAGGGCUGAUGUUUAGGCUACAGUGUACUGUGUUAGACCAGGGCUGAUGUUUAGGCUGCAGUGUGGAGUAUUAGACCAGGGCUGAUGUUUAGGCUGCAGUGUGGAGUAUUAGACCAGGGCUGAUGUUUAGGCUGCAGUGUGGAGUAUUAGAGCAGGGCUGAUGUUUAGGCUGCAGUGUGGAGUAUUAGAGCAGGGCUGAUGUUUAGGCUGCAGUGUACUGUGUUAGACCAGGGCUGAUGUUUAGGCUACAGUGUACUGUGUUAGACCAGGGCUGAUGUUUAGGCUACAGAGUGGAGUAUUAAACCAGGGCUGAUGUUUAGGCUGCAGUGUACUGUGUUAGAUCAGGGCUGAUGUUUAGGCUACAGUGUGGAGUAUUAGACCAGGGCUGAUGUUUAGGCUGCAGUGUGGAGUAUUAGAGCAGGGCUGAUGUUUAGGCUACAGCAUGGUGAGUUAAAGCAGGGCUGAUGUUUAGGCUGCAGUAUGGAGUAUUAGACCAGGGCUGAUGUUUAGGCUACAGCAUGGUGGGUUAGACCAGGGCUGAUGUUUAGGCUACAGUGUACUGUGUUAGAGCAGGGCUGGAAUAAAAGCCUGCACACCCAGUAGCUCUCCUGGACAAUGGUUGGCCACCCCUGAAAUAAAAGUUUACCACAUUAACCAAAUACUUGUAUGUCUUUAUACAAUGAUUCACUCAUUCAAUGAAUCAGGGAUACAAUGGGUAUGGUAGGCUACUUCAAAGGAAGGUAGCUAACUAAAACAUGUUAUCUAUAACUUUAUAAGACUAAAAUAUUCAUGUUUCAGGGGAGAUCUAUGUACAGCAUGGAAGUUAUUUGUCAAUUAGGCUAUUCUGAGAAUAUGUUUUAAGUUAUUGGAAUUACAUAGCCUAUUGUUUAAUAGAAAAGUGACAAUGAGUCAAUGACAUGAAUGCUUAGGCCUACAGCUAAAUAUACCGAAUAUAAACGCAACAUGUAACAAUUUCAACUAUUUUACUGAGCUACAGUUCAUAUAAGGAAAUCAGUCAAAUGAAAUAAAUAAAUUAGGACCUAAUCUAUGGAUUUUACAUGACUGGGCAGGGGCACAGCUAUGGGUGGGCAUGGGAAGGCAUAGGCCCACCCACUGGGGAGCCAGGCCUAGCCAAUCAGAAUGAGUCUAUGCCCACAAAAGGGCAUUAUUACAGACAGGAAAACUCCUGAGUUUCAUCAGCUGCCCGGGUGGAUGGUCUCAGAUGAUCCUGCAGGUGAAGAAGCCAGAUGUGGAGGUCCUGGGCUGGCAUGGUUACACGUUGUCUACGGUUGUGAGGCCAGUUGGACAUACUGCCAAAUU
rnacentral:lncRNA from 1 species